AGUGAACGCUGGCGGUAGGCCUAACACAUGCAAGUCGAACGGCAGCACAGUAAGAGCUUGCUCUUACGGGUGUCGAGUGGCGGACGGGUGAGGAAUACAUCGGAAUCUACUUUUUCGUGGGGGAUAACGUAGGGAAACUUACGCUAAUACCGCAUACGACCUACGGGUGAAAGCAGGGGAUCUUCGGACCUUGCGCGAUUGAAUGAGCCGAUGUCGGAUUAGCUAGUUGGCGGGGUAAAGGCCCACCAAGGCGACGAUCCGUAGCUGGUCUGAGAGGAUGAUCAGACACACUGGAACUGAGACACGGUCCAGACUCCUACGGGAGGCAGCAGUGGGGAAUAUUGGACAAUGGGCGCAAGCCUGAUCCAGCCAUACCGCGUGGGUGAAGAAGGCCUUCGGGUUGUAAAGCCCUUUUGUUGGGAAAGAAAAGCAGCAGGUUAAUACCCCGCUGUUCUGACGGUACCCAAAGAAUAAGCACCGGCUAACUUCGUG
rnacentral:rRNA from 1 species